rnacentral:misc_RNA from 1 species
UGAUUGCACGCUACAGAUUGAGGUAUAUCCACUUGAAUUUGCAAUUGUUUGUAAUUUGUCGGUAUACUGUACAAAUUGAUGGCUGCCAGCGCCAAUCCUCCUGCGGCGGGUAAUAAUAGUGGUCAAGAAGGCACCGGCAAUGGGAAUGGCGCCACCACUAAUGGUCUCUCCGUUCCGGAGAACUCUGUGGUUGGCCCCACACAGGCGGCGCUACGACACAAUCCCGGACUUUCUGUUGAUUGGACUCCCGACGAACAGUCCCUCCUUGAAGAACUGCUCGCCAAAUAUGCAACAGAAAGCAACAUAUCUAGGUAUGCAAAAAUUGCAAUGCAGCUAAAAGACAAGACUGUUCGAGAUGUAGCAUUGAGAUGUAGAUGGAUGUCUAAAAAGGAGAUUGGAAAGCG